rnacentral:rRNA from 1 species
AUUGAACGCUGGCGGCAGGCCUAACACAUGCCAGUCGAGCGGAUGAAGGGAGCUUGCUCCUGGAUUCAGCGGCGGACGGGUGAGUAAUGCCUAGGAAUCUGCCUGGUAGUGGGGGAUAACGUCCGGAAACGGGCGCUAAUACCGCAUACGUCCUGAGGGAGAAAGUGGGGGAUCUUCGGACCUCACGCUAUCAGAUGAGCCUAGGUCGGAUUAGCUAGUUGGUGGGGUAAAGGCCUACCAAGGCGACGAUCCGUAACUGGUCUGAUAGGAUGAUCAGUCACACUGGAACUGAGACACGGUCCAGACUCCUACGGGAGGCAGCAGUGGGGAAUAUUGGACAAUGGGCGAAAGCCUGAUCCAGCCAUGCCGCGUGUGUGAAGAAGGUCUUCGGAUUGUAAAGCACUUUAAGUUGGGAGGAAGGGCAGUAAGUUAAUACCUUGCUGUUUUGACGUUACCAACAGAAUAAGCACCGGCUAACUUCGUG